rnacentral:rRNA from 1 species
CUUAAGCAUAUCAAUAAGCGGAGGAAAAGAAACCAACAGGGAUUGCCCUAGUAACGGCGAGUGAAGCGGCAACAGCUCAAAUUUGAAAGCUGGCUUAGGCCCGCAUUGUAAUUUGCAGAGGAUGCUUUUGGUGAGGUGCCUUCCGAGUUCCCUGGAACGGGACGCCAUAGAGGGUGAGAGCCCCGUAUGGAUGGACACCAAACCUGUGUAAAGCUCCUUCAACGAGUCGAGUAGUUUGGGAAUGCUGCUCAAAAUGGGAGGUAAAUCUCUUCUAAAGCUAAAUACCGGCCAGAGACCGAUAGCGCACAAGUAGAGUGAUCGAAAGAUGAAAAGCACCUUGAAAAGGGGGUUAAACAGUACGUGAAAUUGUUGAAAGGGAAGCGCUUGUGACCAGACUUGCGCCGGGCAGCUCAUCAGGGGUUCUCCCCUGUGCACUCUGCCCGGCUCAGGCCAGCAUCGGUUCUCGUGGGAGGAUAAGAACAGUAGGAAUGUGGCCCCCUUCCGGGGGGGUGUUAUAGCCUAUUGUACGAUACUCUCGUGGGGACCGAGGUUCGCGCUCCGCAAGGAUGCUGGCGUAAUGGUCAUCAGCGACCCGUCUUGAAACACGGACCAAGGAGUCGUCCAUUAGAGCGAGCGUUUGGGUGUAAAACCCGCACGCGUAAUGAAAGUGAACGCAGGUGAGAGCUUCGGCGCAUCAUCGACCGAUCCUGAUGUCUUCGGAUGGAUUUGAGUAAGAGUUUUAACGGACGGACCCGAAAGACAGUGAACUAUGCUUGUAUAGGGUGAAGCCAGAGGAAACUCUGGUGGAGGCUCGCAGCGGUUCUGACGUGCAAAUCGAUCGUCAAAUAUGAGCAUGGGGGCGAAAGACUAAUCGAACU